rnacentral:rRNA from 1 species
GACGUCUACGAGUUUGAUCAUGGCUCAGAACGAACGCUGGCGGCAGGCCUAACACAUGCAAGUCGAGCGAACCCUUCGGGGUUAGCGGCGGACGGGUUAGUAACGCGUGGGAAUAUACCCUUUGGUACGGAAUAGCCUCGGGAAACUGAGAGUAAUACCGUAUGUGCCCUUCGGGGAAAGAUUAUCGCCAAAGGAUUAGCCCGCGUUGGAUUAGAUAGUUGGUGGGGUAAGUGGCCUACCAAGUCUACGAUCCAUAGCUGGUUUGAGAGGAUGAUCAGCAACACUGGGACUGAGACACGGCCCAGACUCCUACGGGAGGCAGCAGUGGGGAAUCUUAGACAAUGGGCGCAAGCCUGAUCUAGCCAUGCCGCGUGGACGAUGAAGGCCUUAGGGUUGUAAAGUCCUUUCAGAUGGGAAGAUAAUGACGGUACCAUCAGAAGAAGCCCCGGCUAACUCCGUG